GUGCCUAGUGGACAUGGCAUCUGCCCGGUAAGCGGAACACUGUGGGUUCGAUUCCCAUCCCUGGACA